rnacentral:rRNA from 1 species
AUUGAACGCUGGCGGCAGGCCUAACACAUGCAAGUCGAGCGAGCGGCGGACGGGUGAGUAAUGUCUGGGAAACUGCCUGAUGGAGGGGGAUAACUACUGGAAACGGUAGCUAAUACCGCAUACCAUCAGAUGUGCCCAUAUGGGAUUAGCUAGUAGGUGGGGUAAAGGCGCACCUAGGCGACGAUCUCUAGCUGGUCUGAGAGGAUGACCAGCCACACUGGAACUGGGACACGGUCAAGACUCCUACGGGAGGCAGCAGUGGGGAAGAUUGCACAAUGGGCGCAAGCCUGAUGCAGCCAUGCCGCGUGUGUGAAGAAGGCCUUAGGGUUGUAAAGCACUUUCAGCGAGGAGGCGUUACCCGCAGAAGAAGCACCGGCUAACUCCGUGCCAGCAGCCGCGGUAAUUC